GACGAACGCUGGCGGCGUGCUUAAUACAUGCAAGUCGAACGCUGAAGGACGGAGCUUGCUCUUUCCGGAUGAGUUGCGAACGGGUGAGUCACGCGUAUGUAAUCUGCCUGGCUGCGGGGUAUCACUAUUGGAAACGAUAGCAAAUACCGCAUAACAGUAGAUGUUGCAUGAUAUCUACUUAAAAUGCGCAAUUUGACGACUAACAGAUGGAUCUGCGUUGUAUUAGUUAGUUGGUGGGGUACCGGCGCACCAAGGCGACGUUACAGAGCCGACUUGAGCGGGUGAGCAGCCAGCCUGGGACGGAGACACGGCCCAGAGGCCUACGGGAGGCAGCAGUAGGGAAUCUGCGGCAAGGGGCGGAAGUCUGAGCGAGCAAGGCCGCAUGAGGGAAGAAGAUUGUCGGGUCGGAAAGCUCGGUUGUAAGGGAGGAACGAGUGUGAGAGUGGAAAGAACACACUGUGACGGUAACUUACCAGAAAGGGACGGCUAACUACGUG
rnacentral:rRNA from 1 species